CGGGGUGGCGGAACGGUAGACGCAGGGGGCUUAAAACCCCCAGGGCUUAGGCCCAUGUGGGUUCGACUCCCACCCCCGGCAUACCA
rnacentral:tRNA from 1 species